ACAUCCAGAGAACUUAGCAGAGAUGCUUUGGUGCCUUCGGGAACUCUGAGACAGGUGCUGCAUGGCUGUCGUCAGCUCGUGUUGUGAAAUGUUGGGUUAAGUCCCGCAACGAGCGCAACCCUUAUCCUUUGUUGCCAGCGGCUCGGCCGGGAACUCAAAGGAGACUGCCGGUGAUAAACCGGAGGAAGGUGGGGAUGACGUCAAGUCAUCAUGGCCCUUACGGCCAGGGCUACACACGUGCUACAAUGGCGCAUACAAAGAGAAGCGACCUCGCGAGAGCAAGCGGACCUCAUAAAGUGCGUCGUAGUCCGGAUUGGAGUCUGCAACUCGACUCCAUGAAGUCGGAAUCGCUAGUAAUCGUAGAUCAGAAUGCUACGGUGAAUACGUUCCCGGGCCUUGUACACACCGCCCGUCACACCAUGGGAGUGGGUUGCAAAAAAAGUAGGUAGCUUAACCUUCGGGAGGGCGCUUACCACUUUGUGAUUCAUGACUGGGGUGAAGUCGUAACAAGGUAGGCGUAGCGAG
rnacentral:rRNA from 1 species